UACGUAGGUGCGACAGCUGUUCGGCGAAUUAUUGGGCGUAAAGAGCUCGUAGGCGGUCUGUCGCGUCGGCUGUGAAAACUCGGGGCUCAACUCCGAGCUUGCAGUCGAUACGGGCAGGCUAGAGUUCGGCAGGGGAGACUGGAAUUCCUGGUGUAGCGGUGAAAUGCGUAGAGAUCCGGAAGAACACCGGUGGCGAAGGCGGUCUGCUGGGCAGUUGCUGACACUGAGGCGCGACAGCGUGGGGAGCAAACAGGG
rnacentral:rRNA from 1 species